rnacentral:rRNA from 1 species
UGCAAGCGUUGUCCGGAUUUAUUGGGCGUAAAGAGCGUGUAGGCGGCCUGGUAGGUCAGCUGUGAAAACUCGAGGCUCAACCUCGAGACGCCGGUUGAAACCAUCAGGCUAGAGUCCGGAAGAGGAGAGUGGAAUUCCCGGUGUAGCGGUGAAAUGCGCAGAUAUCGGGAAGAACACCCGUGGCUAAGGCGGCUCUCUAGUACGGUACUGACGCUGAGACGCGAAAGCGUGGGGAGCGAACAGG